rnacentral:ncRNA from 14 species
GGGAAGAGGGUGCAAAUCCCUCGCGGUCCCGCCGCUGUAAAUGGGGACGAACCCCGCGGAUGCCACUGUCUUAGAGACAGUGAUGAGUGAUCAGUGACGAGUGAUGAGUUGGGAGCUUGGAUUUCCACUCAUCACCUAUCACACAUCACCCAUCACUGCUCAGCAAGCAAGAUGGGAAGGCGCGGGUAGUAGAUCGGUGGUCGUUCCGCCGGUCCCCUGAGCCAGAAGACC